rnacentral:rRNA from 1 species
AUUGAACGCUAGCGGCAGGACUAACACAUGCAAGUCGAGCGGAGCGGCGGACGGGGGAGUAAUGCAUAGGAAUCUGCCUGGUAGUGGGGGAUAACGUCAGGAAACGGGCGCUAAUACCGCAUAAUAACAGAUGAGCCUAGGUCGGAUUCGCUAGUUGGGGGGGUAAAGGCCUACCAAGGCGACGAUCCGUAACUGGUCUGAGAGGAUGAUCAGUCACCCUGGAACUGAGACACGGUCCUGCCUCCUACGGUAUGUAGCAUUGGGGAAUAUUGGACAAUGGGCGAAAGCCUGAUCCAGCCAUGCCGCGUGUGUGAAGAAGGUCUUCGGAUUGUAAAGCUCUUUAAGUUUGGAGGCGUUACCAACAGAAUAAGCACCGGCUAACUUCGUGCCAGCAGCCGCGGUAAUUC